ensembl:Mt_tRNA
GUCUUCGUAGCUUAUUCCAUAAAGCACUGGUCUUGUAAACCAAAGACGGGCAUCAUCGCCCCUAAGACA